rnacentral:rRNA from 1 species
GAUGAACGCUAGCUACAGGCUUAACACAUGCAAGUCGAGGGGCAGCGGGAUUGAAGCUUGCUUCAAUUGCCGGCGACCGGCGCACGGGUGAGUAACGCGUAUCCAACCUUCCGUACACUCAGGGAUAGCCUUUCGAAAGAAAGAUUAAUACCUGAUGGUAUGAUGAGAUUGCAUGAUAGCAUCAUUAAAGAUUUAUCGGUGUACGAUGGGGAUGCGUUCCAUUAGGUAGUAGGCGGGGUAACGGCCCACCUAGCCUACGAUGGAUAGGGGUUCUGAGAGGAAGGCCCCCCCACAUUGGAACUGAGACACGGUCCAAACUCCUACGGGAGGCAGCAGUGAGGAAUAUUGGUCAAUGGACGAGAGUCUGAACCAGCCAAGUAGCGUGAAGGAUGAAGGUCUUACGGAUUGUAAACUUCUUUUAUAAGGGAAUAAACCCUCCACGUGUGGGAGCUUGUAUGUACCUUAUGAAUAAGCAUCGGCUAACUCCGUGCCAGCAGCCG